rnacentral:rRNA from 1 species
AGUGAACGCUGGCGGUGGGCCUAACACAUGCAAGUCGAACGGCAGCACAGUAAGAGCUUGCUCUUACGGGUGGCGAGUGGCGGACGGGUGAGGAAUACAUCGGAAUCUACUUUUUCGUGGGGGAUAACGUAUGGAAACUUACGCUAAUACCGCAUACGACCUACGGGUGAAAGCAGGGGAUCUUCGGACCUUGCGCGAUUGAAUGAGCCGAUGUCGGAUUAGCUAGUUGGCGGGGUAAAGGCCCACCAAGGCGACGAUCCGUAGCUGGUCUGAGAGGAUGAUCAGCCACACUGGAACUGAGACACGGUCCAGACUCCUACGGGAGGCAGCAGUGGGGAAUAUUGGACAAUGGGCGCAAGCCUGAUCCAGCCAUACCGCGUGGGUGAAGAAGGCCUUCGGGUUGUAAAGCCCUUUUGUUGGGAAAGAAAAGCAGCAGGUUAAUACCCCGCUGUUCUGACGGUACCCAAAGAAUAAGCACCGGCUAACUUCGUG